rnacentral:rRNA from 1 species
CAGUCGCCGCGGUAAUACGAAGGGUGCAAGCGUUACUCGGAAUUACUGGGCGUAAAGCGUGCGUAGGUGGUGGUUUAAGUCCGUUGUGAAAGCCCUGGGCUCAACCUGGGAAUGGCAGUGGAUACUGGCAAGCUAGAGUGUGUCAGAGGAUGGUGGAAUUCCCGGUGUAGCGGUGAAAUGCGUAGAGAUCGGGAGGAACAUCAGUGGCGAAGGCGGCCAUCUGGGACAACACUGACGCUGAGGCACGAAAGCGUGGGGAGCAAACAGGAUUAGAUACCCGCGUAGUCCCUGUCUCUUAUAC